UCCGGUUUGUCACCGGCAGUCUGGUGUGAGUCCCCAACUUAAUGAUGGCAACACACCACGGGGGUUGCGCUCGUUGCGGGACUUAACCCAACAUCUCACGACACGAGCUGACGACAGCCAUGCAGCAUCUGUGGUGCACCCUCGAAGGUUACACAUUUCUGUGUGCUUGCAGCACCAUGUCAAGUCCAGGUAAGGUUCUUCGCGUUGCAUCGAAUUAAAGAACAUGCUCCGCUGCUUGUGCGGGCCCCCGUCAAUUCCUUUGAGUUUCAGUCUUGCGACCGUACUCCCCUGGCGGGACACUUAACGCGUUAGCUACGGCACAGAGGGGGUUGAUACCCUCUACACCCAGUGUCCAUCGUUUACGGCUCGGACUAC
rnacentral:misc_RNA from 1 species